rnacentral:rRNA from 1 species
UAACAAGGUCUCCGUUGGUGAACCAGCGGAGGGAUCAUUACCGAGUUUACAACUCCCAAACCCCUGUGAACAUACCUAUCGUUGCUUCGGCGGAUCCGCCCCGGUGCCUUCGGGCCCGGACUCAGGCGCCCGCCGGGGGACCCAAACUCUUGUAUUUCUUUAGUAUCUUCUGAGUAAACAAGCAAAUAAAUUAAAACUUUCAACAACGGAUCUCUUGGUUCUGGCAUCGAUGAAGAACGCAGCGAAAUGCGAUAAGUAAUGUGAAUUGCAGAAUUCCGUGAAUCAUCGAAUCUUUGAACGCACAUUGCGCCCGCCAGUAUUCUGGCGGGCAUGCCUGUUCGAGCGUCAUUUCAACCCUCAAGCCCCCGGGCUUGGUGUUGGGGCUCGGCCCGUCCCAGCGGCGCGCCGUCCCCGAAAUCUAGUGGCGGUCACGCUGUACUCCUCUGCGUAGUAAUCUAACCUCGCAACGGGACAAAGCGCGGCCACGCCGUUAAACCCCCAACUUCUGAAGGUUGACCUCGGAUCAGGUAGGAAUACCCGCUGAACUUAAGCAUAUCAA